rnacentral:rRNA from 1 species
ACAAGGAUUCCCCUAGUAACGGCGAGUGAAGCGGGAAGAGCUCAAAUUUGAAAUCUGGCAGUCUUCGAUUGUCCGAGUUGUAAUCUAUAGAGGCGUUUUCCGUGCCGGACCGUGUCCAAGUCUCCUGGAAAGGAGUAUCAAAGAGGGUGAUAAUCCCGUACUUAACACGACCACCGGUGCUCUGUGAUACGUCUUCUACGAGUCGAGUUGUUUGGGAAUGCAGCUCAAAAUGGGUGGUGAAUUCCAUCUAAAGCUAAAUAUUGGCGAGAGACCGAUAGCGAACAAGUACCGUGAGGGAAAGAUGAAAAGCACUUUGGAAAGAGAGUUAAACAGUACGUGAAAUUGUUGAAAGGGAAACGAUUGAAGUCAGUCGUGUUCUUUGGAUUCAGCCAGUUCUGCUGGUCUACUUCCUUGGAACGGGUCAACAUCAGUUUUGUCCGGUGGAUAAAGGUAGUAGGAAUGUGACUUCUCCGGAAGUGUUAUAGCCUAUUAUCACAUACACUGGGUGAGACUGAGGACUGCAGCUCGCCUUUAUGGCCGGCCUUCGGGCACGUUCGAGCUUAGGAUGUUGACAUAAUGGCUUUA